rnacentral:lncRNA from 1 species
GCCCCCCCGCCUCAGAGCAGCUGGUCACAUGAGCUUCCUCCCUGUGUCAGGAGCCUUCUGCUGCAGGACCCCAGGCCUCGGGCACAGCUGGAGACUGGAGGCUCAUCUGCCAGGACCCGUGUCACUCCUCGCUGGGCACCGUGGCGUGAGAUGGCCGGUUCUCAUUGGGGACACCGUGUUCCUAGGCUCUGGGAUCUCUGCGCUGGGCUCUCUACCUCUGGGGGAGACACUUCUGAACCCCUAGCUGGGAGCCCUCGGCUCUGCCUGGCAGCUUCCUCUGGGCCCACCUCUGAGGCCCCUGCGGGCCUUCACCUGCCCUCUGCAGGGGCCUCUGCAGGCCUGAAGUAGGAGGUCCCUCCUGCUUCCACCUUCCCCAUCAGGCGAGAGCCAAGCCCCCAUUACCGGCCUGUGGCCACCUGUGCACCGGGCACCCCCCGUGCAGCUCCAAGCCCUCCACGUGCGAGGCCCUUAGGGAGGACACACUGGGAAGGAAGGACACCUCACAGUGCCUUCCCGAUGGACAAGGCUUCUGACAGGGCCUGACCACGCAUUUGGGUUUUCCAGAACGGACUUCCACAAGCUUUACCUCGUUAACCUGCCGUUAUGUGGAUUCAGAAAUCACACACAUCCGGGAUCUGCCAACCCAAAAGGGCAGCUUCUUGGGGCCUCCGCUGGAGAACACUGACCGAGGUGAUGCAGGAGCGGACCCAACCAGAGGCAGCCCGUGCCCGUGCCCAUCAGUCACCACCCAGGAGAGCAGGGUUUGACAAAGGAGUCACCAUGGGUGAGGCCCUGGAGAGCCCUGAGUGCUGUCCAGACGCCGGCCAUGACUAGGGCCCACAGCACCCCAGGCCCUGCAGAGCAAGAUGGCAGCAGGCCCAGAAGGGUCCAUGACGCCGUGGCCACCAAAUGUGAAGUCAGUUCAGGGCCCUGAGAUCUGGCAGCAUCUGAAAGGGGGAAGGAACCUAGGGGACCCAGAGAGACACCUGGGCCACCUGCUCCACCCAGUACAGAGCCACUAAGGGGAAGUUGGGGGCCCAGGCAGAGGUCCUGGAUGGCGCUGGCCCUUCACUUCCUGAGUGUGGCUCCCUCUCUGUCUGUGCAACCUCAUCUGAUCAGUGACUGUGUCCCCUCUGGAAGCCAGUGUGUGGAAGCUGUGCCCAGCCUGGGCGUGGGGCCAACCACAGGGCCGUGCUGGGAAGUCAUCACUGAGUGGUGAGUGGCUCAGUGCAGCUGGGGACACUGGAACUCGGGAGAGGCCAGCGAUCAACGAGGGCAAACAGGCGCGUCGAUGGGCCGAGGGUGGACCUCUUUGCCGAGAAGGUCAAACGUCUAACGCUGGGCUCACCGUGAAGCAGCUUCAUGGACAAGCUCAAGACAGAGGCCCACCUAGGCUCAGAAGACAGGCGGAACGGGGCGGCAGACCCUCUGGAUUCCUGCUCCGGGGACAGCGAUGCUACGUCUCCGGUGGCCAAGUGACAGACGUGCACCCCCUGUCGCCAUGGCCGCUUGCCAGUGCCCUCGCCUCACGGGGGUCCGUCUCCCCAGCCAUAAAUGACACAGCCGUCCCCGUCCUAGAGUCACAGAAGCUGUGUGGCAGGGCAGGGGGGGAGGGUGCUCUGUUCCCCAGGGUGGCAGGCAGGGCACGUCGGGGCAGGUGCCCCUCUCUGGUCGACCUCCUCAAACUCAGACUGACACUGACUCCCUUUGCCAGCUGUGGGACCCUCUCAACAGACUGCCUGGCUGUGGUGACCACUGCGAGCCUGAGCGUUUUGGAUCAGAAACGAUCCCUGGGUGACAGUUAACAAGACAGCUGACCAGAAGGCGCUGACCAGAAACCGCAGCAGGCAGUAGGCAGGUGACCUGCUGGACAGUCCCGAGACCACAGCAGACCUCACCAGAGGGUCAGCAAAGUCCCGAUUCAGCACCUCUCGGCACCAAGUCCAGGCACCAGGUCUGAACUUCAGCUGGGACCUGCUGGCCACCUCCAGAGGCACCUCAGAGGCUGUGACAGGGGAGAGCAAAUGACUGAGGAGCAGCUUGCCCUGGGU